rnacentral:lncRNA from 1 species
UCUUCUUCUCUUUUUCUCCUCCUUCUUCUCUUUUUCUCCUCCUUCUUCUUCUUCUUCUUUUCCUGUACGGUUCCGGUGCAAUGGCCGGAAAUCCGACUCGGGGAGGUCGGUCGGGAAACCCGACUGACGACUCCCGAUCGACUCCGGAAGUAGAGGUCUCCUCGCUUUCGGGGCCGAAUGUCGAUCGGCUUCGGGAGCAAUACCGCAUCCCGGAGCAGUUUCGGCUCUCCGCUCUAGGGGCCGGCGGUCGGGUUAACAGCCC